CGAGGGUAAAGUGGUAAUAUCACGUCUUCAAUGAAUGGGAAAGAUGCCAUUUACACCAUCACACCAUAGACCAACGUUCUGGAGACUUUUUGUGUAACAGCAGCUGCCUACCUCCCUAAGCCAUUUAGCCACUACAGUUGAUGGAACUGCUUCAUGGAGCCACAGAAGUUCUAUUUCUAACUACCAAUUUUCCCUUUUGUCCCUCAGAAACUUCACGGCAGACUGGGGACCAUUUGGUAAUUGCAAAUCCUUCUCUUAAAGAUUGGCUCUUUUUUGUGCAGAGAGCCCUUGGCUUGCAGGGCAGCUGAGGAUUGAAGUGAAGAAGACCUGAGAAAGUAACAAACUUUGUCGGCCUGCCUGCCCUUUUGUUUAAAAAUUGAAUUUUCAGGAAUAAAGAUAAAUUUUGGGAUGCAUUUAACAGUUUGUUAUGUUGAGAGUGAGGGGGAGAGAAAGAGAGAGAGAGAGGGUUUUUGCCUUUUGAUCCGCUUUUCCCAAUACUCGUAUUAAUUAAUUCCAACAGAGAGGCGGAUGUUAUGGGAUGUGGACUUUUUGUUGUCGUUGUUGCUUCUUCCUCUUUCUUUAGCCUGGUCCUGGUAGAAUUUCUGUACUGUACACACAUAAAUAUACAGCAGGUCUAAUCUGAGGGUUUUUAAGUAAUUUGGUGGCAAUUGCUUGCAUUUGGGUUUAGCUGCAAAAGCCAAAAGGUCAAGGUGUGAAAUCCAAACAGGAAUCAAAGGGCAUCGCGUGUUGUUGAUUUAUGACAAACAAACAGUAUAAAGGAGAGAAAUUUGAGAAACAGUCUUUACUUUAUUAUGCAGGAAAGAAGGAAACCACAAAAAUUUAAAGAGGAAACUGCCGAAAACGUUCAACAUGAGCAUUACCAUGCCCACGGACUUUUUGGGUUCGAUUUGGACAAGUCAAGCCACCACCACCCGUUGACAUCGUCAUCUCCUUCAAUGUUGAUUUACAAGUUUCUGCUCGUUUGCGUGAAAAGUUAAUGGUAAGAUAUUUUUAUGGCAGAUUGAAACAGCUGAUGAAAUGGAUCAGACUGUUUAAGUAACAACUAAAAAGUUAAAAAGAAAAUACCAGAGAGAAGCAAAAAGCCCUCCAAUCCCACUACACGUGUUUUCCCUCCACUGGACCGUCAUCAAAACCAGUUCAACUCGUCGUGAAGCCACAUCAAGGAAAUACCUCGACUUUAUCUCUCUGUCGCUUGGUUGGUACCUGGCAAGCAAUGGCGUCGACGAUUUCUCUGAUUGGCCAGAUAUCGAACCCACAUGGACUUGGACUUGACGUCUCCCAAAGACCCAGCACCCCCUUCUCACUCUCCCGCUAUAACUUAAGUUCAAAGACAAAUUUACAGAGCUUAUCUCAUUCUGGUUACCGACACUUUGGGCAUAUUCAGAGAUCUGUCCUUGUUAAUGGUCUUUUUGGCGGAAAGAAAGAAAAUAAUGAGAACAGUGAUGAUGCGCCUUCAAAGGCAGGAGUUCUUGGAAACAUGCAAAAUCUAUAUGAGACUGUGAAGAAGGCACAAAUGGUUGUCCAAGUUGAAGCAGUGCGGGUGCAAAAAGAACUUGCUGUAGAAGAGUUUGAUGGUUACUGCGAAGGGGAGUUAAUAAAGGUUACUCUGUCUGGGAACCAGCAACCUGUUCGCACGGAGAUUACUGAGGCUGCAAUGGAAUUAGGACCAGAAAUAUCAGGUGUGAUUUGAGAAACCCUGGCUCGAUAGAUGAAAAUUUUAGGGUAUGAAAAAGUGGCUGAAUUGACUGGAAAUAUGGCCUCUUUUGGGGAACAUUGGGAUGAAAGUUGGAAAUUUAGAUAUCUGUUAUUUGUGACGGAAGGAUGCAUCAGAAACUUUCGCUUUUAAUUACUGAGGCAUACAAGGAUGCACACCAGAAGAGUGUCCAGGCUAUGAAGGAAAGGAUGAGCAAUCUUGCCCAGAGUUUAGGAAUGCCGCAAGGACUCACUCCUCAGUGAGGAAUCUAAGUGAUGUUACUUAUAUGCAUACUAGUAAGUUGUGUAAGAUGGACAAUUUUGUUUACGAAGGCUCGUUUAUCGUCAUAUGAAACUCUAAUUAAAGUGAAGCUUUAGAAUCUGUGGCCUUUGUGCUGGCUGUUUACUAAACAACCUGAUGUUUAUCUUCCUCUCACCUCUAUAGUAAAAAAAAAAAAAGAAUUAGAGACUGAGGAGGAUAAAAUAUGGUGAUCUGUUUAACUGUUGUCCAUAAGUUUCACUUUCACCUGAGCUGUGGCAAAAUGCAAACAAUGGGCAACAUGAAAAUGGAUUCUUGAAGUAAA